CCUACGGGAGGCUGCAGUGAGGAAUAUUGGUCAAUGGCCGCAGGGCUGAACCAGCCAAGUCGCGUGAGGGAUGACGGUCCUAUGGAUUGUAAACCUCUUUUGUCAGGGAGCAAAGGGCGCCACGUGUGGCGCUUUGCGAGUCCCUGAAGAAAAAGCAUCGGCUAACUCCGUGCCAGCAGCCGCGGUAAUACGGAGGAUGCGAGCGUUAUCCGGAUUUAUUGGGUUUAAAGGGUGCGCAGGCGGAAUGUCAAGUCAGCGGUAAAAUUUCGGGGCUCAACCCCGUCGUGCCGUUGAAACUGGCGUUCUUGAGUGAGCGAGAAGUAUGCGGAAUGCGUGGUGUAGCGGUGAAAUGCAUAGAUAUCACGCAGAACUCCGAUUGCGAAGGCAGCAUACCGGCGCUCAACUGACGCUCAUGCACGAAAGCGUGGGUAUCGAACAGGAUUAGAUACCCCAGUAGUC
rnacentral:rRNA from 1 species